UUCAGUGAUGAAAACUGCUGCAUAGGAAGUGCCGUCUGAUGCGAUAACUGACGAUGGCAACUGACGGUGGUCUGAGA